AUGAACGCUGGCGGCGUGCCUAAUACAUGCAAGUCGAGCGAACGGACGAGAAGCUUGCUUCUCUGAUGUUAGCGGCGGACGGGUGAGUAACACGUGGAUAACCUACCUAUAAGACUGGGAUAACUUCGGGAAACCGGAGCUAAUACCGGAUAAUAUUUUGAACCGCAUGGUUCAAAAGUGAAAGACGGUCUUGCUGUCACUUAUAGAUGGAUCCGCGCUGCAUUAGCUAGUUGGUAAGGUAACGGCUUACCAAGGCAACGAUGCAUAGCCGACCUGAGAGGGUGAUCGGCCACACUGGAACUGAGACACGGUCCAGACUCCUACGGGAGGCAGCAGUAGGGAAUCUUCCGCAAUGGGCGAAAGCCUGACGGAGCACCGCCGCGUGAGUGAUGAAGGUCUUCGGAUCGUAAAACUCUGUUAUUAGGGAAGAACAUAUGUGUAAGUAACUGUGCACAUCUUGACGGUACCUAAUCAGAAAGCCACGGCUAACUACGUG
rnacentral:rRNA from 1 species